GUGCAGAGAUCAGCAGGAUUUCUGAGACACCUGAACCCAGCAUUGGGGUCAUCACAGACCAUCUUCAUCACGAUGCUAUCAGUAGAAGCAAAGGAUUAUGGAUCUCUGGAAAGCGUUCACCCUUGGGUCAGAAGACAAGACAAGGCGAGGAAUCUCCUCUUCCUGUGCGGAAGUUUAUUGUGGUCAGCCAGCCUGUCACUGACGCCUCCCAAAGGAAAGUGACAGCAGCUUUAUUCACCCGCUGACCCGUGAAGAGGACAGCGGAAGAAAGAAAAAACAAGAACGUGUGUGGAUGUUUGUGUGUAACCUGACUAAGGGCUUCUUUUCUCUCAUGUAAGGAGGUACAACCAAUCUUGUGUGAUCAGCAAAACCUGCAGAUGAGUGUGCCAACAGGAGCGUGUGCAUCCAGUGUCACGUCCUUUAAGUGACCCCAACGAGGUGAAUGCAUCAUCUUUGCCCUUUUUUCACCUUCUUUUGUGUGUCCAGAUAAAAUCACAAAACGACAACAAUUCCCCCCUUUUUAACCAUAUAAUGUUCUUUUAUUUGCACUUAAAAAAAAAGAGUUUUCACAGUUUUAUUUUUGCUCUUUUUAUCUGAAAGUGGAGGUCCUGCAGCCUUGAAGUGAGAGAUAUAGAAGGAAAGAGAGAUGAUGUCCAUCUGCUCUUAUGAUCUCUCUCCAACUUUGUUUGGCUACAGCCAUUUCUCCAUCCCACUCCGCUCCCAUCAGCCCCCAGCGGACCCAGUCGCUGGCCUUUUCUUGACCCAGUUUAGGCCUUCCAUUCUGGGCUUUCUGAUCCAUUCGCCCUCCCUCUGUGUGUGGGUUCAACAGAGAAUCCUGAGAUUAUCAGAUGCUCACUUAAGAGGGAGCGAGAGUGAGCGAAGUGCUGUCCACUUAGCUGAAGAUUAUCCUUUAAAAGGAAGGGAGAUGGAGGAGAAAAAGGAGAAAAAAGGAUGUGCUUAAGAGGUGGAUAUGGAGGGGGUGGAUGGAGGGAGAGAUUGUGAGGACAGUUGGAGUGAUAGAGAGAGGGUAAAUGAAUCAUAUGGAGAUAAAGUGUGUGUGGGUGAGGGUUAACAAAAAAGCGAGGAGAGGAAUAGAGCAUGGAGUGAAAUGUCUAAAGCUGAGAUGGAGGUGAGGUGACAGAGCGAGAGAGGGAGAGAGUGGAGGAAGGUUGACAGAGAGGUAGAGAUGGAGAGAUAAAAAGAGGAGGAAGCAGGAAGGAUGAGGACAAGGGCGGGAUUAAGCAGUAAAAGCAGGGAUUGUGAAGUGUUCGCUAACCAAACUGAGGACCUUCUGCUCAGCUUUUUAUGGGUAAUGGGGUGUAAAUGCCAACUUGUAUUUGUCAAACACCAAUAGUAAAGUGGCAAUACAGGCGAAAGACUGAUUUACAAAUUUAAUACUCAAUAAUAGUUAGUGAAAUAUUUAUUUGAUCAACUCUCGAACUAAAUGUCUAACAGUUUCACAAUAUGUGUGCCAUAGUAUGUGGCUUUGAGAAUAAUGGACAUUCUCUAACUUUGGUCUUAAUGUCAUGUUUUUGCCAUCAAGUAUACAUUUUCUUACUUAAGCACUGCACCAGAAACACACACAAACCUAGCAAAAAAAGUAAAUAAAUGACUG